rnacentral:sRNA from 1 species
GCCAGGUGCUGUAAUGCUUGCCUGUAAUCCCAGCAUCUUGGGAGGCUGAGAUAGGAGGAUCACAAGUUGCAGGCCAGCCUCAGCAACUUAGUGAGGCCCUGUCUCAA